CUUGCUCCUUGGGUGGCGAGUGGCGGACGGGUGAGGAAUACAUCGGAAUCUACUCUGUCGUGGGGGAUAACGUAGGGAAACUUACGCUAAUACCGCAUACGACCUACGGGUGAAAGCAGGGGAUCUUCGGACCUUGCGCGAUUGAAUGAGCCGAUGUCGGAUUAGCUAGUUGGCGGGGUAAAGGCCCACCAAGGCGACGAUCCGUAGCUGGUCUGAGAGGAUGAUCAGCCACACUGGAACUGAGACACGGUCCAGACUCCUACGGGAGGCAGCAGUGGGGAAUAUUGGACAAUGGGCGCAAGCCUGAUCCAGCCAUACCGCGUGGGUGAAGAAGGCCUUCGGGUUGUAAAGCCCUUUUGUUGGGAAAGAAAUCCAGCUGGCUAAUACCCGGUUGGGAUGACGGUACCCAAAGAAUAAGCACCGGCUAACUUCGUGCCGGCAGCCGUGGUAAU
rnacentral:rRNA from 1 species